rnacentral:rRNA from 1 species
AAUGAACGCUGGCGGCGUGCUUAACACAUGCAAGUCGGAUGUGCCGCAAGGUACAUGGCAGACGGGUGAGUAACGCGUGGGGAACCUACCUCUUUGUGGGGAAUAACGUUCCGAAAGGAAUGGUAAUACCGCAUGUGAUCCAUGCUUGAGAUAGUGUGGAUGAAAGCUGGGGAUCGUAAGACCCAGCGCAAGGAGAGGGUCCUGCGUCUGAUUAGCUAGUUGGAGGGGUAACGGCCCACCAAGGCAACGAUCAGUAGCCGGCCUGAGAGGGUGAUCGGCCACACUGGAACUGAGACACGGUCCAGACUCCUACGGGAGGCAGCAGUGGGGAAUUUUGCGCAAUGGACGAAAGUCUGACGCAGCAACGCCGCGUGGGUGAUGAAGGUCUUCGGAUUGUAAAACCCUGUCGUCGGGGACGAAGGUACGGGAUCUAAUAGGUCUUGUGCUUGACGGUACCCGGAGAGGAAGCCCCGGCUAACUCUGUGCCAGCAGCCGCGGUAACAC